UCAAACCAGUCCCACCUUAUAUCUCUUUACCUCCACUUAAUGAAGCUUACUUCGUGUCAUUAGCAGCGAUUAUAUACCUUGCUAUUCUCCUUUAGCAUCAAAUUCUACCUGUCGACCAAUUUGCAAGCCCGCGAAUUGUUCUUGCCCCCCGCCCCUCCCCCGGGGCGCUCAUUACCUACGGCCAACCGCCUCUUAUUUAUUAGUGCCCCGCCCUCACCCUCAUCCAAAAUUUCUGGAUGAUCAUCCCGAUAAGCCGAACAUCGAGGGAGGCAUCAUAAAAACAUCUCUGUGUCUUGAGUAUAAUCUCACAAAGGCCAUUCUUAUUUUUGCCACACUACGUUGUUUUUCUUUUCGUCAAAGAAAUGCCUCGGGUCAUUUGUCCCAUAUGGUAUUUUUUUACAACGAUUUAUUAGGGUAAAUAUUUUAUCUGCGGACUUGUUACGCUCACCUUGUGAUUAAUGAUGAUUAAAAAGGCCAUCGGCUUUUAAAUGUGGAAGAUGAGUUGGGGGGUUUGUGCCAGUUAAGCUUGCCACGUUGGAUGAUCCCUGGUGCGAUCCGGGGAAUUGGUGGGUCCACUCGUUCUACGGCGGCUGUUGCUCACCGGGUCUGCUUGCUAUCGGGGCCAGGAUCCCCGCUUACGUCCCACUUGUCAGCUCACCAUAGAGUGGAUGGGGUAGGGGAUGAGGGCAUCCAUCGUGUGGUCACCUCAUAUGCUUCUAUUUCAGUAGUUUAUUCUUCUUUUUUCCCCUCCAUCGGUUAUUUUUAUCCUUUUAUCCCUUCUUGCCUCUCGUGCUGCACACAAUGAAUAUAAAAUCACUGAUUUUGAUGAUAUUUAUGACAAGAAAAAUACGACAUGAUAUGAUUGAACUGCGGCGAGGAAAGCUGCCUUAGCGUAGGGAAGGCAGCAUGACCGGUGACCACCCCCUCGAACGGCCCAGAGUACUCUACGCUCGUGGUGGGGCCGGGAGAUCUAUGAUCUCCCCCGGUACAAGGUCUUAUCAGAGAUGCGAUGCGAAGCUGACUUCUGGCCUCUGGGCCUAAGGAUGCUAUUAUUGCUACUAGUAUUCAGAGAUGGUUUGAGGGGGACGAGCGCAACCCUUCUCCGGUCCUGCCUGCUUUGCUUGUGGACACGUCCCUUCAUUCAUUAGGAAAAAAAAUUAACAGAGCAGCCAACUAGUGCAUGUAUCGUAAAUUUAUUGCUGCGUGCUGCCCAGAGCCGCCAUUUCCGCACUUCCUCUCUGCUCUCUCUCUCUCUCUCUCUUAAUUGGCAAAGAGCACGAUUUUUCCUCCUCUUGCACACUUCUCUGUUCUCCCUCUUUUAAUUGGCCGUACCUGGAUUCCUCGAGUGCUCCACACGGUUCUAAACAUAUAUUUGGCCUUCGGGUUCGGUCCCUAUCCAAUCCAAUCGCAGUUUCUGUAGAGUCUACCGGCAGGUUAGGUGUCGUUGGCCUGUCGAGUAAGAGUACCAGCACCGCUACUCCCACUGCAGCGGCAAGGCGGUCCCGUUUCUUUUUCACUUCGGUCGCUGUUCUGGGGCGGAGUUAGUGAGGGAGGCAGGCGUAUGCGUGCCGGCGACGGAGGGAUGGUUGCUGUUAAGAGUGGCAAUUUAUAUGCAUCAACCGGAUCCAUAAACAAUUUUUGCUUUAAACAUAUUCGUAUUUGAUAUAAUUAAAUUUAGAUCAUAAAUAGAUUAAUAUAUAUAAAUUUAUUUAUUAAUAAUUAGAUUGGGUCGUGAUAUGAUCUAUCGAACCUGUUUAAGGUCUUUUUAACCUAUUAGAAACAUGCUUAACAUAUUUGUUCUGUUUAACCCAAUUUGCUUUACAUGCUUAAUCCAUUUAAAUUCGUUUCAUUCAUUAAAAAUUCACUUAACCUAAACAGAUCUAUUGAAUCCGUUUAAUAUUAAGUGAAUCUUUUUAACUUGACCUGUUUAGUAAAUUGAUUAUAUGGAUUAGGUCAAGUUAUCUAUUUAAUAUUAAACAGAUCAGAUUUUGAUCUAAAUUUUUAACCUGCCUAAUAAAUAGAUUUGGCUUAGAUUGAUGAAUUUUUUACUCGAUCUUCGUCCAAACUUGAUUUGUACCUAGCUCGCAUCCACCCCAACGCGACCCCUUGCCACCCAUAGCUGCCAUUCCUAUUAAUUAAAAUUUGCGGGGCGAAAGUUUUGGUUUUUUCAAAGUUGAGUUUUUUUUUUUUGUGGUGCUUUUCGUUUUCUUACAUUCUUUUUUCCGAGAGAAAUUGGACAGAGAACCAUCUAAUAACAGUGCAGUUUUUGGUAAUAUCCACUUGGAGUAUUAAUUGUGGAAACGUGGAGAGCAGACCUAAAAACCGGUAAACGGAUGGCAAAGCGAAAACUUGUAACCUAACCCUCGCUAUAUGAUU